GACGAACGCUGGCGGCGUGCUUAACACAUGCAAGUCGAACGGUAAGGCCCUUCGGGGUACACGAGUGGCGAACGGGUGAGUAACACGUGGGUGAUCUGCCCUGCACUUCGGGAUAAGCCUGGGAAACUGGGUCUAAUACCGGAUAGGACCACUGCCUGCAUGGGUGGUGGUGGAAAGCUUUUGCGGUGUGGGAUGGGCCCGCGGCCUAUCAGCUUGUUGGUGGGGUGAUGGCCUACCAAGGCGACGACGGGUAGCCAGCCUGAGAGGGUGACCGGCCACACUGGGACUGGGAUACGGCCCAGACUCCUACGGGAGGCAGCAGUGGGGAAUAUUGCACAAUGGACGCAAGCCUGACGCAGCGACGCCGCGUGAGGGAUGACGGCCUUCGGGUUGUAAACCUCUUUCAGCACCGACGAAGCGCAAGUGACGGUAGGUGCAGAAGAAGGACCGGCCAACUACGUGCCAGCAGCCGCGGUAA
rnacentral:rRNA from 1 species